rnacentral:rRNA from 1 species
GACGUAGGGCGCGAGCGUUGUCCGGAUUUAUUGGGCGUAAAGAGCUCGUAGGCGGCUUGUCGCGUCGACCGUGAAAACUCGCAGCUCAACUGCGAGCCUGCGGUCGAUACGGGCAGGCUAGAGUUCGGUAGGGGAGACUGGAAUUCCUGGUGUAGCGGUGAAAUGCGCAGAUAUCAGGAGGAACACCGAUGGCGAAGGCAGGUCUCUGGGCCGAUACUGACGCUGAGGAGCGAAAGCGUGGGGGAGCGAACAGG